CUCAGGCACCCUGACCAUCACGGGGCUGCAGGCUGAGGACGAGGCCGUCUAUUACUGCUUAGCAUGGGACGACAGUCUCAAAGCUUACACAGUGCUGCAGGCCUGUGGAGAACAAGUGUCUGUGUCUGCAGGGUCCCUUUCCCAGCCUGUGCUGACUCAGCCGCCCGCCCUCUCUGCAUCUCUGGGAGCCACAGCCAGACUCACCUGCACCCUGAGCAGUGGCUUCAAUGUUGGAGACUAUGGAAUGGUUUGGUACCAGCAGAAGCCAGCGAGCCCUCCCCGGUACCUGCUGUCCUACAAAUCGGACUCAGACAAGUACCAGGGCGCGGGCGUGCCCAGCCGCUUCUCCGGAUCCAAAGACGCCUCAGCUAACUCGGCUGUCCUGCACAUCACUGGGCUGCAGCCCGAGGACGAGGCUGACUAUCACUGUGACACGUGGGACGGCAACUUCAAGACUCUCACAGUGGUCCACACCCACAGGGGAGGGAGACAAAACCCUCCUCUCUGCUCCCUGGGCCGGGCCCUGUCCCCCUGCUGGCGGCUCUGACCUAGUGCAGCUCAGCGGGGACUUGUGCUGUCAGAUCCCCACCCGGCACCUGACUGUGGGUGGACAGUCGUUUUGACAAUGUCACAGCUUUGUCCUCACCUUUCAGGUUGACGUAUUGUUCUCAUGU